rnacentral:rRNA from 1 species
CUACCCACACUUGGAUAACUGUGGUAAUUCUAGAGCUAAUACAUGACACGUAAGCCCCGAGAAGGCGCACGUUCGCGUGCCGUCAUCCAAGGGCGCAUUUAUUAGAACAAGACCAACGCUAAAACUAGCCUGGUGACUCUGGAUAACUUUAGACGAUCGCACACGGACGGUGCCUCGCGCACUUCCAGCGACGUAUCCUUUAAAUGUCUGCCCUAUCAAGUACGAUGGUAAGCGACGAGCUAACCAUGCUGAUGACGGGUAACGGAGAAUCAGGGUUCGAUUCCGGAGAGGGAGCCUGAGAAACGGCUACCACAUCUAAGGGAGGCAGCAGGCGCGCAAAUUACCCACUCCUUGAGCGGGGAGGUAGUGACAAGAAAUAACAAUACGGGACUCUAUCGAGGCUCCGUAAUUGGAAUGAGAACAUUUCAAAUCCUUUAGCGAGGAUCCAUUGGAGGGCAAGUCUGGUGCCAGCAGCCGCGGUAAUUCCAGCUCCAAUAGCGUAUAUUAAAGUUGUUGCAGUUAAAAAGCUCGUAGUUGGAUCUCGGGCGUUUCCCUACGACUGUGUGGUUGUUGGGCACAUGUGGCGUCUGCCCGUCUCGUAUAGGCGGCGUCGUCCAACAACUGGCCGGUCGGCGCCGUUGUCUCGCGUGUUCUGGCCCGGGUUCCCUUAACCGGGCUGCUCGGGUCGACAUCGCACGGUUACUUUGAAAAAAUUAGAGUGUUUAAAGCAGGCAGGUAACGACCGCCUGAAUAAUGUUGCAUGGAAUAACGGAAGAAGACCUAUUCGGCUCCACGUUCUGUUGGCCUAAGGAGCACGAGGUAAUGAUCAACGGGGGCGGACGGGGGCAUUCGUAUUACGGCGCGAGAGGUGAAAUUCUAAGACCGUCGUAAGACGAACGAGAGCGAAAGCAUUUGCCAAGAACGCUUUCCUUAAUCAAGAACGAAAGUCAGAGGUUCGAAGACGAUUAGAUACCGUCGUAGUUCUGACCAUAAACGAUGCCACCUCGCAAUGAGUCGGCGUCAGUCUUUACGACUACUGCUCGCAGCUUCCGGGAAACCAAAGGUUUUGGGUUCCGGGGGAAGUAUGGUUGCAAAGCUGAAACUUAAAGGAAUUGACGGAAGAGCACCACAAGGAGUGGAUCCUGUGGCUUAAUUCGACUCAACACGCGUAAGCCAAUCGGGCCAAAACAUCUCUAGGAUUGACAGAUUGAGAGCUCUUUCUUGAUUAGGUGGGCGGUGGUGCAUGGCCGUUCUUAGUUGGUGGAGCGAUUUGUCUGGUUAAUUCCGAUAACGAACGAGACUCUAGACUGCUAAAUAGUCCGGUCACGUUGUUCGAGGAUUGUUUCGCGGCUAGCGUUGCGUACGUCUCCGUCGCGGGCGCGGCGUGGUCAUUCGUGCAUGCGUGCGCGCAUCUUUCGRGGUGUGUCGUUCGUGUGUUUCGGUGUCCGUGUCCGUGCUCGCGCGCGGGUCUGCGUGGCGUCCGCGUGCAUCCUGUGGCCGUGGCGGCGUCGCCCGUGUGCGCAUGGGCGGGCCGUCUUGACUUCUUAGAGUGACAAGCGACACAUAGUCGCGCGAGAUUGAGCAAUAACAGGUCUGUGAUGCCCUUAGAUGGUCCGAGCUGCACACGGGACACAAUGAAGGAAUCAGCGGGGAACUGUGCCGGGUCCGAAAGGUGCUCGGUAAACCCAUGAAUCUCCUUCGUGACUGGGAUCGGGGCUUGAAACUUUCCCCCGUGAACGAGGAAUUCCUUGUAAGCGCGAGCCACCAGCUCGCGUUGACUACGUCCCUGCUCUUUGUACACAC